AUUGAACGCUGGCGGCAUGCCUUACACAUGCAAGUCGAACGGUAACAGGUCUUCGGAUGCUGACGAGUGGCGAACGAGUGAGUAAUACAUCGGAACGUGCCCGAUCGUGGGGGAUAACGGAGCGAAAGCUUUGCUAAUACCGCAUACGAUCUACGGAUGAAAGCAGGGGACCGCAAGGCCUUGCGCGAACGGAGCGGCCGAUGGCAGAUUAGAUAGUUGGUGGGAUAAAAGCUUACCAAGCCGACGAUCUGUAGCUGGUCUGAGAGGACGACCGGCCACACUGGGACUGGGACACGGGCCAGACUCCUACGGGAGGCAGCAGUGGGGAAUUUUGGGCAAUGGGCGCAAGCCUGAUCCAGCAAUGCCGCGUGCAGGAUGAAGGCCUUCGGGUUGUAAACUGCUUUUGUACGGAACGAAAAGGCUCUGGUUAAUACCUGGGGCUCAUGACGGUACCGUAAGAAUAAGCACCGGCUAACUACGUGCCAGCCGCCGCAGUAACAC
rnacentral:rRNA from 1 species